rnacentral:rRNA from 1 species
AUUGAACGCUGGCGGCAUGCUUUACACAUGCAAGUCGAACGGUAACAGGCCUUCGGGUGCUGACGAGUGGCGAACGGGUGAGUAUGCAUCGGAACGUACCCAGAGGUGGGGGAUAACGCAGCGAAAGCUGUGCUAAUACCGCAUGUGAUCUGAGGAUGAAAGCGGGGGACCGAGCAGCAAUGUUUGGCCUCGCGCCUUUUGAGCGGCCGAUGUCGGAUUAGCUAGUUGGUGGGGUAAGGGCCUACCAAGGCGACGAUCCGUAGCUGGUCUGAGAGGACGACCAGCCACACUGGGACUGAGACACGGCCCAGACUCCUACGGGAGGCAGCAGUGGGGAAUUUUGGACAAUGGGCGCAAGCCUGAUCCAGCAAUGCCGCGUGCGGGAAGAAGGCCUUCGGGUUGUAAACCGCUUUUGGCAGGAACGAAACGGUGUCCGCUAAUACCGGGCGCUAAUGACGGUACCUGCAGAAUAAGCACCGGCUAACUACGUG